rnacentral:rRNA from 1 species
UGGGGAAUAUUGCACAAUGGGCGAAAGCCUGAUGCAGCGACGCCGCGUGCGGGAUGAAGGCCUUCGGGUUGUAAACCGCUUUUAAUUGGGAGCAAGCGAGAGUGAGUGUACCUUUUGAAUAAGCACCGGCUAACUACGUGCCAGCAGCCGCGGUAAUACGUAGGGUGCAAGCGUUAUCCGGAAUUAUUGGGCGUAAAGAGCUCGUAGGCGGUUUGUCACGCCUGGUGUGAAAGUCCAUCGCUUAACGGUGGAUCUGCGCCGGGUACGGGCAGGCUAGAGUGCAGUAGGGGAGAUUGGAAUUCCCGGUGUAACGGUGGAAUGUGUAGAUAUCGGGAAGAACACCAAUGGCGAAGGCAGAUCUCUGGGCUGUUACUGACGCUGAGGAGCGAAAGCAUGGGGAGCGAACAGGAUUAGAUACCCUGGUAGUCCAUGCCGUAAACGGUGGAUGCUGGAUGUGGGACCCUUCCACGGGUUCCGUGUCGGAGCUAACGCGUUAAGCAUCCCGCCUGGGGAGUACGGCCGCAAGGCUAAAACUC